UGGCGACCGGCGCACGGGUGAGUAACACGUAUCCAACCUGCCCUUUACUCGGGGAUAGCCUUUCGAAAGAAAGAUUAAUACCCGAUAGCAUAAUGAUUCCGCAUGGUUUCAUUAUUAAAGGAUUCCGGUAAAGGAUGGGGAUGCGUUCCAUUAGGUUGUUGGUGGGGUAACGGCCCACCAAGCCUUCGAUGGAUAGGGGUUCUGAGAGGAAGGUCCCCCACAUUGGAACUGAGACACGGUCCAA
rnacentral:rRNA from 1 species